rnacentral:rRNA from 1 species
GGCAAUCCGCGUGCUUACCAUGCAGUCGGACGAGAAUUCCGAGCAAUCGGGAGAGUAAAGUGGCGCACGGGUGAGUAACGCGUGGGUAAUCUACCCUGGAGUUGGGAAUAACACCUCGAAAGGGGUGCUAAUACCUAAUAUGAUUCUGGAGACUAUGGUCUUUGGAAUAAAAGGUGGCUGAGGCUUGCAAGCUAUUGCUCCAGGAUGAGCCCGCGUACCAUUAGCUGGUUGGUGGGGUAACGGCUCACCAAGGCAAUGAUGGUUAGCUGGUCUGAGAGGAUGGCCAGCCACACUGGAACUGAGAUACGGUCCAGACUCCUACGGGAGGCAGCAGUGAGGAAUCUUGCGCAAUGGGGGCAACCCUGACGCAGCAACGCCGCGUGAGUGAUGAAGGCCUUCGGGUCGUAAAGCUCUGUCAGAUGGGAAGAAGAUUUCAAAGGUAAAUAAUCUUUGGAAUUGACGG